CGUUUGAAUUAAGAACAAAAAAAAAACGAUUAAUGGAAAAGUGUAUUCAUUUUGAGGAACCUCCAACAAGUAACUAGUGGAAAUUAGUCAUUUUUCAUAUUGAUGCGCCUAUAAGUAUGCAACGCCUGCCUACUUCCUCUGUUCCUCUGUGAAUAGAGACGGCAAAAUACAGCUGCCUACAGAACUUUAUGGAGGGCAACUUCUCUUGCGGUCAACCCUUUAACGCACUUUGUAGAUAAUCAGUUGGAGUAUGACAAAUGACUGAAUUGAAUUGCAAUAUUGACUUCCUCUGUUAAUAACAUGCUCUGCCUCUGCUCUGCUUAAACGAACAACAACAGAAUGAAUAUACAAUACAAAUUUCUUACCAAUUCAAGGGAGAACAAAGCAAACACAUCAUUAUUAAGUAAUUUUCGUCGCCAUCAUCAAUAAAAUUCGUUGGCUAUUGGAAAGAAAACAAUAUUUUAGCCAACAUUACGGCUUCCCGUAAACUUACUUAACACCACCCAGCAGAAAG